GAGGUCCUAGCUUAAUUAAAGCGCCUGAGUUGCAUUCAGGAGAUGUGGGAUAGUACCCUGCGGGUCUUA
rnacentral:tRNA from 1 species